rnacentral:rRNA from 1 species
UACGUAGGCAGCAAGCGUUGUUCGGAGUUACUGGGCGUAAAGAGUGUGUAGGCGGUGCUCUAAGUUCGGUGUGAAAUCUCCCGGCUUAACUGGGAGGGUGCGCCGGAAACUGGAGUGCUCGAGCGUGGGAGAGGAAAGCGGAAUUCCUGGUGUAGCGGUGAAAUGCGUAGAUAUCAGGAGGAACACCGGUGGUGUAGACGGCUUUCUGGACCAUAGCUGACGCUGAGACACGAAAGCGUGGGUAGCAAACAGG